GCCCUAGAGUUACAUUGCAGCCUAGUUCAUGGCUGCCGGUUACAGCGUUCUCACUCAAUACCGGACCAAUUUCAUAGAUAGCUGGUCACAUUAGACAAAUACAUACAA